GGGCGUGUGGUCUAGUGGUAUGAUUCUCGCUUUGGGUGCGAGAUGCCCUGGGUUCAAUUCCCAGCUCGCCCC
rnacentral:tRNA from 2 species